CUGGAGUUAAGAACUGCACAACAAUCAAUCUGGAGCAUUUUAGUCUUGAGUUGAUCUGCUAAAGCAGUUCUGAAGAGGGGUUGAUCAAAGGCAACAGGACAUGGGGAUUCAGCUUCCAGAAGGAUUCAGCUUCCAGAAAGUGUAAGAAACCCCUGAAAUUUUCUGUACUGGUAAACAUGAAAGGCAAACAUCCAUUGAGACAUGGUUCUCUAUGAAGUGGGGAUGAGUAUUCCAACCUCCUCUGAAUCUCCACGAAGCAGCAGAACUUUACAAAGGAAUAAGCAAGAAUGCCCAUUGCCAAUAAAACUCUUCAGAGUUUAUCCUGGAGACCACAGAUAAAGUAACGAGAUGAGGAAAA